rnacentral:rRNA from 1 species
ACCUACGGGACGCAGCAGUGAGGAAUAUUGGUCAAUGGACGGGAGUCUGAACCAGCCAAGUAGCGUGAAGGAUGACUGCCCUAUGGGUUGUAAACUUCUUUUAUAUGGGAAUAAAGUUUUCCACGUGUGGAAUUUUGUAUGUACCAUAUGAAUAAGGAUCAGCUAACUCCGUGCCAGCAGCCGCGGUAAUACGGAGGAUCCGAGCGUUAUCCGGAUUUAUUGGGUUUAAAGGGAGCGUAGGUGGAUUGCAAGUCAGAUGUGAAAACCACGGGCUCAACCUGUGGCCUGCAUUUGAAACUGUAGUU